UCGUUCCCCUCCCCCUCGAGCCCGCCUCCUCUCUUCCCCUCCUCUCCUCCCCGCGCUCUUCCCCUCUUCUCCUCUCCUCCCCACCGCCUCCCGCCUCCUCUCCUCCCCACCGCCUCCCGCCUCUCGAAGAAGCAGCAAGCCCCGCCCGCGCCCAGAAGCCCAAGCCCGCCACCAAGCGGCAGUUCCAGGCGUUGCGGGGCGGCAGGGGGCUCAGCCUCAACCCGCUAACCCUAGCUGCACCCCACACCGCCGUCGGCUCCUUCUCCCGGCCUGCCGGUCCCCGCCGUCCGCGUCCACAGCGUCGUCGUCGUCGUCCUCGCGUGCACACGGCAAGAGGAGCACGGGAGACGUGGCUGCGCCGCCGCCUCCGCCUCUGCUCGCCCUCGCGUUGUUGUGCCGUUUCCUCCUCCACGCCCCCUUGGUGCUCAUCAGGAAGAGCGCGGCUCACAGUCGGCUCUCGCGAGGGAGUGCCGAACGCGCGCAGGAGGGAGUGGCGGACGCGCGCAGGAGGGAGCGGUGGAGCAAGGUGGCGCCGGUCGAGGGAGCACUCAAGACACUUGUAGUGGUUCAUAAUUUUGGGAGAGCUUAAUUUUACACAAAGGGGGCGUAUUAUGCAGAUCUCAUACUUCAAGGAUGACUCCAGUUCAGUUGCUUGGGACUGUUACGCAUAGGUGCGCACAUAUGGUUAGUUUUUGGAGGAAAGAUUGGAAUGCUCUAGGAUCCUGAUAUAUGAUGUUACAGCCGAGCAUUUAUACAAAUAAGCUCAAGGUCCUGAAAAGAACCAGAGAACUAGAUUCCUAUGAUCUGUUAGAGCAGUUGCCAGCUUUGCAACAGUUACUGUAUCGGCUUGUUGGAUGUCAGCAAGUAGGGAACUGCGAAUGACAACUACUUGCUGCAAUAUGCUCUAGCUUUUGGUAUGAAGAUAGGUGAUUUUGAGUGGCUAAUUUGGCAGUAAUGCAAUGGAGGUGUGGCUGCGUCUUUCGAGAGUGGUGUCGAUAACAAGAGGCUUCUAUGACAAUGGAGGCAGCGACAAGCACAUAUAUGCUUUAGCUUUGAGGCACUGAAUUGUAAGCUAGAGAGAAUUGGUUUUGUAAGGAUGCAACCCUUGAAAGCUAUAGAUAUUCCUACAGAUACACUACUGGUAUUGUUACACAUCAGGGAAGUCCUCAUCUACUACUGGUUUGACAACAAUUGUUAUCAAAUAACCUGAAGCGGGUGAAUUUUGUAUGGAGGUAAUAUAAAUGCAGUUGAUCAUACAUACUGCUACUCGAAUAAAAAUGCCUAUCGUAGUGUCUAUAUACAUCCGUAUGUUAUAGUCCAUUUGAAAUCUCUAAAAAGACUUAUAUUUAGGAACGGAGGGAGUAGUAUAGUAAUGAAUGUGAUCAAGCAGUUUGCAUCAACACAUUGUUUGGACUAUAUUUUGUGGCAUAUAUUUUACCACCUGCUUUCUACCAAAAGAAACGAUAAAUAAAGGUGGACAAUAAUAGGUUACAAUAGUGAUCAAAGGAAGAGAAAUACUUUUGCAAGUCAUGCAUGGAUUUUUUUACCAGACAAAUAUUUUCUUCAGAUGUAUAAUCAUAUUUUUCUGAGAUAUAUAUAUUUCUUUUUGCUCAUCACCUGAUCCCGCCACCGCGGCCCAUGGAGGCACUGCUGCAGGGGCCGCAGCUGCCACCAUUCCUGUCCAAGACAUACGAUCUCGUCAGUGAGCCGCAGCUGGACGGGGUCAUCUCCUGGGGUCCUUCGUCAUGUGGAAUCCUUCCACCUUCGACCGGGACAUGCUCCCGCACAACUUCAAGCACAAGAACUUCUCCAGCUUCGUCAGGCAGCUCAACACCUAUGUGCGUAUCGUAUCACUGUCCUAUCCUCUGUUCUCAUUUUUCUUUUCUUUUGCAAUCUCUCACUGGAUUAUUAUUCAUGCCGCCAUCCUCUGCUCAGGAGGCACUCUGUUUCUGUUUUGGUAUCUGCCACUCUGUUUUGGAUGUUCUAUUUUUCUUUUUGUUCCUUCUGGUUUCUGCUGAUGUACUCAACCCAAAUCUGUUGUGUAUAUAUAUACUCUUUGUACUUCCCUUGAUAAUUUUAGUGAGCGGAGUUGUGGUCUGUAAUGCCAAUUUGGUGUAUCUUUUGUUAGCAGAAUCGUGGUCUGUAAUGCCAAUUUGGCCUUUCCCGAAAAAACUGGUUUAUCUUGAUCACUGAAAUAAUCCUGAUUCCUAAGGAGUUGAUCCCGUGAUGGGUUUACUAAGAUGGGCUGAACAGAUAAUACAAUUUUAUCCAUAUGUAUUUCAUCUUCUUUUGCACCUAUUAAUUAUACAUCUAGAUACAUACAUUCCUCCAACAAGUAUUUCCGGAUGGAGGUUGUAUUUUUUUUGCCUUUAUUUGCAUUUUACCCUCAAAUAGAUGGACAUGACUUGAUUUGAGUUAUAACUCAUCAUUGAUUGCAUAGGAGUAGGCUGGGGUAACAGUGUCCAGUACCACACCCUUUCUUAUCAAGUUUGUUACAUUCAUUUCAUCUGUAUCUCCUCUUUUGUUCUACAAUUCAUUUUGCUUAUGAUUUCUUAUUGUAGUGGCAAAUUUUAAUUGCUUGGGCUGUUGCUGCUAUGAAAAUAUAUUUCUAUCUUUUAGGUCUCUUACUUUAGUCUCUCACUCUCUCUCUGAUUUCAUAAUGAUAUGAACUUCUAUUAUGCUGCAAGAUUAGAGAGAUUCUUUUCAAACUCAACCUGUGUCACGAGCUACUUGGUUACUUCGCAUUACUUGGAGGAUGCAUGGAUGAGGACUGAAUUAUGUGUAGCUAUGAUAUCUUUUAAUUUUGGUCAUAUAUGUAUCUUACAAGAAUUCCAGUAUAUAUUUUGGUCAUCUGUAUCAGAAUAAGGAUGCACCUUUAAUUAUUACAACCUCCAAGCCCAUCAUUUGGAAUUUUAUGUAGUUUCUUUUGAUGUGAAUAUUUAGUUUGUUGUGUAAUUCUAUUGGAUGAUUAUGGAUGAGGCGUGAAUAAUGUAUAGACAUGAUGGAUGCUCUUA